rnacentral:rRNA from 1 species
GAGUUUGAUUAUGGCUCAGAUUGAACGCUGGCGGCAUGCUUUACACAUGCAAGUCGGACGGCAGCACGGGUGCUUGCACCUGGUGGCGAGUGGCGAACGGGUGAGUAAUGCAUUGGAACGUACCGAGUAGUGGGGGAUAACUGUCCGAAAGGAUAGCUAAUACCGCAUACGACCUACGGGUGAAAGCAGGGGACCUUAGGGCCUUGCGCUAUUUGAGCGGCCAAUGUCUGAUUAGCUAGUUGGUGGGGUAAAGGCCUACCAAGGCGACGAUCAGUAGCGGGUCUGAGAGGAUGAUCCGCCACACUGGGACUGAGACACGGCCCAGACUCCUACGGGAGGCAGCAGUGGGGAAUUUUGGACAAUGGGCGCAAGCCUGAUCCAGCCAUGCCGCGUGUCUGAAGAAGGCCUUCGGGUUGUAAAGGACUUUUGUACGGGAAGAAAAGGUUGUGGAUAAUACCCAUGACUGAUGACG